CCUGAGAAACCCGAAAGAUCGAAUGGGGAGAUUCACCGUCAGCGACGUCGGCUUUCGGCGGUUCGCGAUGCGCGCGCGCGCGGCGUCCAUUCGGGCGUCCGCGCGCGCGCGCACGCGUCCGUCGUGCCACGGCGAGCGAUCGCCGCAUGUCCGGCGGCGUCGGCGUGCACUUCUCCCCUAGUAGGACGUCGCGACCCGCUGGGUGUCGGUCUACGGCCCGGUGCGUCGCCUGUUCCGGUCGCUUCGCGGCGUCGCGGAGCAGACGCCCGGUGUAGCCCGACCGGCUGCCCGGCGGUACUCCCACGGUAUCCGGCCGCAAUCGAACUGCGUCAUUCAGGCCCGCCGCAAGCGCGGUCAGUUAAACAAUACCCGGAGGCGCGGACCCAGUGCCGUCCCCGGGACUGGCCCGCUGUUCGCAGGCGGUGUCCUCUGACAGGCCGCGCGCCGCGUCUUCCUCGUCGUUCCGUCCUCGGGCGGGCGGCGGCGGAAAGCACGCGUGCGUCACUUGAUACCGGUCGGC
rnacentral:rRNA from 1 species